AGAGUUUGAUCCUGGCUCAGAACGAACGCUGGCGGCAGGCCUAACACAUGCAAGUCGAACGAUGCCUUCGGGCAUAGUGGCGCACGGGUGAGUAACACGUGGGAACAUACCUUUUGGUGGGGGAUAACUUCGGGAAACUGAAGCUAAUACCGCAUACGCCCCUUGGGGGAAAGAUUUAUCGCCGAAAGAUUGGCCCGCGUCCGAUUAGCUAGUUGGUGAGGUAAUGGCUCACCAAGGCUCCGAUCGGUAGCUGGUCUGAGAGGAUGACCAGCCACACUGGGACUGAGACACGGCCCAGACUCCUACGGGAGGCAGCAGUGGGGAAUAUUGGACAAUGGGCGCAAGCCUGAUCCAGCCAUGCCGCGUGAGUGAUGAAGGCCUUAGGGUUGUAAAGCUCUUCACCCACGACGAUGAUGACGGUAGUGGAGAG
rnacentral:rRNA from 1 species